ensembl:lncRNA
UGAAAGGGUUACUCAGACAGGACCCAGGGAAGCAGAGUCAGACAGGAGCCUUACCCAGGCUCCAGGGUCUCCCGGCACCCCUCCACCAAAUGCCCAGUGCCGCCAGCUCCUACAAUGCCUUCCAGAAGUGGCCUAUGUCUGGCCUGAUCCCUCAUCCCACCAGAAACACACCUAAGCACACUCUGUGCCACCCAACAGAGGCCUUGCUUCUUCGGGCUGAUGAUGACUAGUGAAACCAGUCAGCACCAGGGGAUCUGACGUGGACCCAGCCCUCCCAGGAAAUAGCACUGCAACGGGAGGCUCCUGAGACACGCCUUAGACCACAGUGGGUGGGGCCCGACCGCUGCCUGCCCUCUUGCUGCCCUGCCCAGGAAGAAGCCAGCCAGGGAGAUGUCUGACCCAUUGGUCCUCCCCUCUGUCCUCUGGCCUGAUCCCCCUCCUCUCCCCACGGUGGCUCAGGCUAGCCAUGCCCUUCCCAUCCUGUGGGCCAGCGGUCUAGGGUGGGGAGCUCACGGUGGGGGUGAAGCCAUCUUGGCUCUGACCUGGGCUAGGCCCAAACCUGCCUCCCUUGGGGCCUUAUUCUGGAAGAAAACAGCUGCUUUAGUCUCCGACUUGUGGAGACAGAUGACUUUUCAAACCAGAAUCUUUCUCCUAAGCUUUUCCUCAGGACUCACCUCAUUGUGCAUCUGCUUGAAGCCCUUUCUAGAUAAAAAUGGGUAAAGUGCACAGAUCUAUAAGUCUCUGUAUAUAUGCAAAUGUACUUUGUGUGAUGUCAUCAGUCUAGCAAAACC